rnacentral:lncRNA from 1 species
AAAUGGUUGAUUUUCCCAUAAUAUAACAAGAAUAGGUGAUAGUAAAAUAUGGUUCAUGCAACUUUGUAUAAAAUAGGGUUUUCCAGAAAAAAACGUACUUAGUUAUUGACUGACCAAUUUAAAUGUGAAAUUGCAAGUGAAAUGCAUUAUAGAAAGAAUUUUCAAGUAAGUAUAGUACAUGUGAACGAAAUUAAUCAGCCCAUACAUGCAAAUCCGCACUUAUGUGAUUUGAUGAGUGACUUACCGAUUUCAAUGUGCUUUAGAAUUUGGUAUUUUCGUUAUUUUACUUUCUCCUACAUUUUAGAAACGAACAAAUAAUCAGGAAUCAGGAAUUGGAAAACGAAAAUCCGACAGUUAUUUGAAAAGGAUUUUUAAGAAAUGUUUUCCAAUUGAAGUGGAUAUCAUUCUAAAAUGAGGUUAAACCAAGAUAUUGCAUAACAAAAAAAAAAAAAAAAAAAAAAAAAUCAGAGGAAAAUCAAUUCGGAAAGUCCAUAAUCACAUGGAAAAAUCAAAUAACAAAACGCAUGGACAAGAACUGUCAUAUUCCUGACUUGGUACAGGCAUUUUCAAAUGUAGAAAAUGGUGGAUUGAACCUGGUUUUAUAGCUAGCUAAACCUCCCACUUGUAUGACAGUCGUAUCACAUUCAAUUAUAUUGUCACCGAUGCUUGAACAAAACAGACACAAUAGUUAAAAAUGUCAAAAAUAGGGGUAAUAGCAAGUUUAUUUUCGACUUACGAGUUUGAAUGUCUCUUUUGUAUCUUUCGCUUGUCCUCUCCAAUUCAUACUUAAUAGUUAUCAAAGGUACCAGGAUUAUAAUUUAGUACGCCAGACGCGCGUUUCGUCUAAAUAAGACUCAUCAGUGACGCUCAUAUCAAAAUAUUUAUAAAGCCAAACAAG